rnacentral:lncRNA from 1 species
UCUCGCCCCUCCCCCUUUCCCCCUCCCCGCGGGCCGCCCCCCGCCUCCGGGGACGGCGGGCGGGGCCCCCUCGGCCAAGACGAAGGUGAUCUACCACCUGGACGAGGAGGAGACGCCCUACCUGGUCAAGAUCGCCGUGCCGGCCGAGCGCCUCACCCUCGGCCACGUCAAGGCGGCCCUGGCCCGGCCCGGCGCCAAGUACUUCUUCAAGAGCAUGGACCAGGACUUCGGCCCAAACCUCUCGGGCAGCUGCGAGAACUUGGACCACGAAACCGAGACGGAGUCCGUCGUGUUGCUGCGGAGAGAGUGGCCAUGGUGCCGGGAGAGCAGAGAGCACGGAGGUAAACCACCCCUCCCCGAAAGCUUCCGGGCCCUUUCCUUGGCGGGAGCGGCAGGUGGGGAGGCCCAAUCCUGGUGGGGGCAGAUUUUAUAUAACUUACACAUUGCUGACAACUCUAGACAGCUUACAAC